GGGCGCAAGCGUUGUCCGGAAUUAUUGGGCGUAAAGAGCUCGUAGGCGGUUUGUCGCGUCUGCUGUGAAAACCUAAGGCUCAACCUUGGGCUUGCAGUGGGUACGGGCAGACUAGAGUGCGGUAGGGGUGACUGGAAUUCCUGGUGUAGCGGUGGAAUGCGCAGAUAUCAGGAGGAACACCGAUGGCGAAGGCAGGUCACUGGGCCGCAACUGACGCUGAGGAGCGAAAGCAUGGGGAGCGA
rnacentral:rRNA from 1 species